rnacentral:rRNA from 1 species
CCUACGGGUGGCAGCAGUGGGGAAUAUUGGGCAAUGGGCGCAAGCCUGACCCAGCAACGCCGCGUGAAGGAAGAAGGCUUUCGGGUUGUAAACUUCUUUUCUCAGGGACGAAGCAAGUGACGGUACCUGAGGAAUAAGCCACGGCUAACUACGUGCCAGCAGCCGCGGUAAUACGUAGGUGGCAAGCGUUAUCCGGAUUUACUGGGUGUAAAGGGCGUGUAGGCGGGACUGCAAGUCAGAUGUGAAAACCACGGGCUCAACCUGUGGCCUGCAUUUGAAACUGUAGUUCUGGAGUACUGGAAGGGCAGACGGAAUUCCUGGUGUAGCGGUGAAAUGCGUAGAUAUUAGGAGGAACACCGGUGGCGAAGGCAAUCUGCUGGACAGCAACUGACGCUGAGGCGCGAAAGCGUGGGUAGCAAACAGGAUUAGAUACCCCGGUAGUC